AUCUCCCCCCGACUGAGUCGAUCCACUGGAGCGUGACUACACCAGGUGGGAGACAGCCACGAAGUGCCAACUCUGAAUGGAAGUGGUCUGACUCAUUUUGUGACGACAUCUUCUCUGAUCGGUGUCUGGGAGCUACGGAGUGAACGCUUUGCAGAGGCUGUCUCCUUUGGGAGUAAUCACAGCAGAUCGCCUGCCUUCAUCUCACCCUAUCCUGAGCAUCCUUUUCUGUCAACUUAUUGUACUUUUCAUAUAUUAACUGAAACAUUAAAGCUAUAUGUUUCUAUCUUGUGAUGUUUUAUUUAUUUGUGUUUAUCCAUCGUCUCUGAUUCAAAUGGUGAAGCCGCAAGAAGUGAUGAUAGAAAAUAGGUCACGGCCAGACAUUUAGAAAAGA